ACGCUAGCUACAGGCUUAACACAUGCAAGUCGAGGGGAAACGGCAUUGAGUGCUUGCACUCUUUGGACGUCGACCGGCGCACGGGUGAGUAACGCGUAUCCAACCUUCCCAUUACUGUGGGAUAACCUGCCGAAAGGCAGACUAAUACCGCAUAGUCUUCGAUGACGGCAUCAGAUUUGAAGUAAAGAUUUAUCGGUAAUGGAUGGGGAUGCGUCUGAUUAGCUUGUUGGCGGGGUAACGGCCCACCAAGGCGACGAUCAGUAGGGGUUCUGAGAGGAAGGUCCCCCACAUUGGAACUGAGACACGGUCAAACUCCUACGGGAGGCAGCAGUGAGGAAUAUUGGUCAAUGGACGGAAGUCUGAACCAGCCAAGUAGCGUGCAGGAUGACGGCCCUAUGGGUUGUAAACUGCUUUUGUAUGGGGAUAAAGUUAGGGACGUGUCCCUAUUUGCAGGUACCAUACGAAUAAGGACCGGCUAAUUCCGUGCCAGCAGCCGCGGUAAUAUGGAAGGUCCAGGCGUUAUCCGGCUUUAUUGGGUUUAAAGGGAGCGUAGGCUGGAGAUUAAGUGUGUUGUGAAAUGUAGACGCUCAACGUCUGAAUUGCAGCGCAUACUGGUUUCCUUGAGUACGCACAACGUUGGCGGAAUUCGUCGUGUAGCGGUGAAAUGCUUAGAUAUGACGAAGAACUCCGAUUGCGAAGGCAGCUGACGGGAGCGCAACUGACGCUUAAGCUCGAAGGUGCGGGUAUCAAACAGGAUUAGAUACCCUGGUAGUCCGCACAGUAAACGAUGGAUGCCCGCUGUUGGUACCUGGUAUCAGCGGCUAAGCGAAAGCAUUAAGCAUCCCACCUGGGGAGUACGCCGGCAACGGUGAAACUCAAAGGAAUUGACGGGGGCCCGCACAAGCGG
rnacentral:rRNA from 1 species